rnacentral:rRNA from 1 species
GACGAACGCUGGCGGCGUGCCUAAUACAUGCAAGUAGAACGCUGAAGGAGGAGCUUGCUUCUCUGGAUGAGUUGCGAACGGGUGAGUAACGCGUAGGUAACCUGCCUGGUAGCGGGGGAUAACUAUUGGAAACGAUAGCUAAUACCGCAUAAGAGUAGAUGUUGCAUGACAUUUGCUUAAAAGGUGCAAUUGCAUCACUACCAGAUGGACCUGCGUUGUAUUAGCUAGUUGGUGGGGUAACGGCUCACCAAGGCGACGAUACAUAGCCGACCUGAGAGGGUGAUCGGCCACACUGGGACUGAGACACGGCCCAGACUCCUACGGGAGGCAGCAGUAGGGAAUCUUCGGCAAUGGACGGAAGUCUGACCGAGCAACGCCGCGUGAGUGAAGAAGGUUUUCGGAUCGUAAAGCUCUGUUGUAAGAGAAGAACGAGUGUGAGAGUGGAAAGUUCACACUGUGACGGUAUCUUACCAGAAGGGACGGCUAACUACGCG